UUAAAUUGAAGAGUUUGAUCAUGGCUCAGAUUGAACGCUGGCGGCAGGCCUAACACAUGCAAGUCGAACGGUAACAGGAAUCAGCUUGCUGAUUUGCUGACGAGUGGCGGACGGGUGAGUAAUGUCUGGGAAACUGCCUGAUGGAGGGGGAUAACUACUGGAAACGGUAGCUAAUACCGCAUAACGUCGCAAGACCAAAGAGGGGGACCUUCGGGCCUCUUGCCAUCGGAUGUGCAGAUGGGAUUAGCUAGUAGGUGGGGUAACGGCUCACCUAGGCGACGAUCCCUAGCUGGUCUGAGAGGAUGACCAGCACACUGGAACUGAGACACGGUCCAGACUCCUACGGGAGGCAGCAGUGGGGAAUAUUGCACAAUGGGCGCAAGCCUGAUGCAG
rnacentral:rRNA from 1 species